GCGCGAUGAUUUUCUGUGAUUAUCCGGCGGAAUAUAACCCGAAGAUCCACGGACCUUACGAUCCUGUCCGUUACUACGGCAA
rnacentral:lncRNA from 1 species